rnacentral:rRNA from 1 species
AGCCUGCCUCUAGCCCAACCAUGCCCAUUCACACCCCCCCCCCCCAACCUACUACAUCCCUCAAACUAAAACAUUCUUCAAACUCAGUAUAGGCGAUAGAAAAGUACCCUUCUUGGCGCGAUAGAGACUUGUACCGUAAGGGAAAGAUGAAAUAAUAGUGAAACCCUAAGCAACAAACAGCAAAGAUAAGUCCUUGUACCUUUUGCAUCAUGAUUUAGCAAGAACAACCAAGCAAAAUGACUUUAAGCUUGCCUCCCCGAAACCCAAGCGAGCUACUUUCAAGCAGCUACCCAUGAGCGAACCCGUCUCUGUUGCAAAAGAGUGGGAUGACUUGUCAGUAGUGGUGAAAAGCCUAUCGAGCUGGGUGAUAGCUGGUUGCCCGUGAAAUGAAUCUAAGUUCUCUCUUAACUCCCCUCCCAGGUCGUCAAACAUAGCCUCACUGUAGUGAGUCAAGAGUAAUUCAAAGGGGGUACAGCCCCUUUAAAAAAGAACACAGUCUCCCCUAGCGGAUAACUAUUUAACCCCGUUCCACAAGCUGUAGGCCCUUAAGCAGCCACCAACAAAGAGUGCGUCAAAGCUCCCCACCCAAAGAUACAAAGACAAUAUGAAUCCCUUACCACUAACAGGCCAACCUAUACCAAUAGAGGAAUUACUGCUAGAAUGAGUAACUAGGGGCUUCCCUCUCGAGCGCGAGCUUACACCAACUACGUUAUUAACAGACCCUCUAAUACCCAAAGCCCUACAAGACCAGGUAUUAAAAUCUCCCUGUUAACCCGACUCAGGAGCGCCCAUUAGAAGGAUUAAAAUCUGUAAAAGGAACUAGGCAAACUCAAGGCCCGACUGUUUACCAAAAACAUAGCCUUCAGCCUGCCAAGUAUUGAAGGUGAUGCCUGCCCAGUGACACUCUGUUCAACGGCCGCGGUAUCCUAACCGUGCGAAGGUAGCGCAAUCAAUUGUCCCAUAAAUCGAGACUUGUAUGAACGGCUAAACGAGGUCUUAACUGUCUCUUACAGAUAAUCAGUGAAAUUGAUCUUCCCGUGCAAAAGCGGGAAUAAACACAUAAGACGAGAAGACCCUGUGGAACUUAAAAAUCAGCGGCCACUACAUACAAACCCAACCCUAUCAGGCCUCACCUCCCCAUAAAUGCUGGCUCGCAUUUUUCGGUUGGGGCGACCUUGGAGAAAAACAAAUCCUCCAAAAAUAAGACCACCCCUCUUAACCAAGAGCAACCCCUCAACGUACUAACAGUAACCAGACCCAAUACAGUUGACUAAUGGACCAAGCUACCCCAGGGAUAACAGCGCAAUCUCCUUCAAGAGCCCAUAUCGACAAGGAGGUUUACGACCUCGAUGUUGGAUCAGGACAUCCUAAUGGUGCAGUCGCUAUUAAGGGUUCGUUUGUUCAACGAUUAAUAGUCCUACGUGAUCUGAGUUCAGACCGGAGCAAUCCAGGUCGGUUUCUAUCUAUGCUGUACUUUUCCCAGUACGAAAGGACCGGAAAAGUGAGGCCAAUACUACAAGCACGCCUUCCCUAUAAGUAAUGCCCCCCACUAAAUUACCAAUAGGAUACCCACAUCCCUUCCACAUCCUAGAAAAGGACCG